AUGCCAGGGGCUCAACCAGUGAAUAUACGCCCGUACAGGCACAAGCCAGAACUCAAGUCAGAAAUUGAACGACAGGUUGAAGAUUUGCUGAAUUCAGGAGUGAUUCAACGCAGCACCAGCAGUUUCUCGUCUCCGGUCAUUUUGGUCAAAAAGAAGGAUGGCACUUGGCGCCUAUGCGUCGACUACAGGCAUCUCAAUGCAAUGAUGUGUGUUAGCAAAUUCCCGGUGCCUAUUAUCGAGGAGUUAUUGGAUGAACUGCAUGGAGCACGCUGGUUCUCCAAGCUCGAUCUCCGAGCGGGGUAUCAUCAGAUAUGA
rnacentral:rRNA from 1 species